rnacentral:lncRNA from 1 species
AGGUCAGUAUCAGCUAUUAGGAGUCAGUCCCACAUGUAACUUAUGUGUAAUUUUAUAUUCAAAUUUCCUUAUCUUCUAUUGUGUAAUGCUAGAAAUUACAUAACAAAAGGAUUGUCCGCCUCUGCUACAAUAAUCUCACUUGCACUAUAUCUUUUAAACAAUUGAUCUAGUCUAGGUGAGGCAUAAUGCAUAUGGUCUGUUCAGCUGAGCUGUCUCCAUGUUGUUCAACUGAAUAGAAAUAUUUAAUAUGUUUUUUGUAUAACUUUAGGUAGUAAUAUUUUCUGUUUGUCAUGCAGAAGCUGUUUCAUAUUGAUUUUUGCUAAUUAUAUUUCCAUGCUCUACUCUAGCCGAACAAGAACUUCAUAUCAUUAGGUUUAUCAAACAUGUAAAAGUAGACCAGCAACAUUCAUAGCUGUUGCUUAAGUAUCCCUGUCCACAAUUGGUCCUAACUCCUAACAUCACUUAAUAGGAACAGCAAGUCAUGCUCACCUAACACUUUGUAAAGGUGGAAAGGAGAUUAAUGCUAAUGGUUGUCGUUAAAUUAGGUAGGCUUCAAUGGAAUUGCAAAUUGACAGAUCAGUUUCCUUAAGAUUCACCCCUCCUACCAAUCGUUCUACUACUUUUUAGUUCCAUCCAUUGAUUCCUUUUAGUCAGACCAGAGAUAUGUACUGGUGUGGUAAUCUCUUGCUCUAGUGGUCCGUGAUGGACAAAGCUUUCCUUGCAAGACUGUACAUGCUUACUUCCUCAC